rnacentral:rRNA from 1 species
UACGUAGGGUGCGAGCGUUGUCCGGAAUUAUUGGGCGUAAAGAGCUCGUAGGCGGUCUGUCGCGUCGGUCGUGAAAACUUGGGGCUUAACCCUGAGCUUGCGGUCGAUACUGCCGUGCUUGAGGACUGGAGAGGAGACUGGAAUUUACGGUGUAGCGGUGAAAUGCGUAGAUAUCGUAAGGAAGACCAGUGGCGAAGGCGGGUCUCUGGACAGUUCCUGACGCUGAGGCACGAAGGUCAGGGGAGCAAACGGG